UACGUAGGUGGCAAGCGUUAUCCGGAAUUAUUGGGCGUAAAGAGCGCGCAGGUGGUUGAUUAAGUCUGAUGUGAAAUCCCCCGGCUUAACCUGGGAACUGCGUCUGAUACUGGAGGGCUUGAGUGCGGGAGAGGGAUGUGGAAUUCCAGGUGUAGCGGUGAAAUGUGUUGAUAUUGGAAGGAACGCCGGUGGCGAAAGCGACACACUGGACCUUGUCUGACGCUGAGGCACGAAAGCCAGGGGAGCAAACGGG
rnacentral:rRNA from 1 species